CAAAUGUGCUCUGAGGAAAGUAGAAAACGGCGGGUUCGUAAAGACAACUGACAAAGACGUUCCAGAGACAUUCCGGGCCACUGGACUGAGUGGUUUCUGUUGUGCCAAUAAGGAGGAAAAUAGAAGCUUCUUCACCUUUGAGUGCAGUCGGGUCUUCAUUCAAUGGCAGGUACUAUGGAAGUAAUCCUCCUCACCUACCUACAAAGACAAGGGCAAGAAAGGCAGGAAUAAGACCCAACAUUGCACAAAACAAUGACACAGUGGUGAAGAUAUUCGAGAUGUUACCACUGGAACUUCUCUCACUUCACCACCCCUGACCUCAGACGUUUGGGAGGAGGAAGCCUGAACAGUAAGAUGAGAACCUAGACCGGGGCUGCCCCCCAGGAGUGGAGAAUCCAAUAACAGCCUCACCACUGCAGGCAGGUGUGUCGUUUGGAGGCGACUUGCCUGGCUGUCUAAAAAGUGACACACAAUGCCGUGUCCUUUCAGGCACUAAUGAAAGGCCAUCUG